rnacentral:lncRNA from 1 species
AAUCCUAGUCGAGGAAGACCUGAUAUCCUACCAUGCCGAGGUGGCCAAAAAGACUCAAGAUAGUGGUUCAAAUCUCCGUUGUUACAGUUAUGGAAAGAUAGCUCAUACAUGAAAUAAGUGCAUAAAAGGUCAAUUUUUCCUCCAAAAUAAUAGCUAUUAGUUGAAGGUAAUGAAGGAUCUGAUGUACAUGAGGACGAUAUGGGCCCAACCUAUGAUGAAGUUGACAAUGUAGGAGAUGAAGGGGAUUGAAGAGAGAUAUUGAUAAGUCGCUUGUUAUCAGAAAUAGUCUUAUGGCUAAGUUUGCAAGGUCGUAAUGAAUAGGGAAAGCUAGGAGAAUGUCACAUCUCAAGAGGCUAUUACAAAGUAACUCUACCUAUAGAGAAGCAUCCCUGGCC